AGAUGGAUAAUUAUUUUUUUUUGUCAUUAAACCCCGAAUUAUGGUCUAAAACAUAUAUUAUUAUUCUUUUUUUUGUAUAAUUUAAGAAAUUAAAUGUAAUGUUAAACUUUAAACCCUUUUUAUGUUAGCGUCGGAAAGUGUAAAUAAUUAAUUUUAUUGUGUACAAAAUCGGAUAACAGACGGCAGUAAAGGCGCGCCGGAACAUAUUCAUUUUUUCGCCCCAAGAAUUUCAUUAAAAAACAAACGUAAAGAAUAGAAAAGAUGGUAGGGGGUAGACGAGAGGGAAAAUUGUGAAACUGCAACUGGAAAAACUGAGAGAAUAAAAUUGUUAAGAGUCAAGCUUUAAAAACAACAAAACAUACACACACUUUUACACACAAAAAACACACACAAACAACACACACACGCACGCGCGCAGAGCUCUUAUGUGUAAGGGUUUUGUUUUUGUUUUUUCUUUUGGAAAAUGGAAAAUUGAAAAUUGAAAAUUCUUGUGAUAUACAAAACAAAAAUACAAAAUUUAAUAAAAAAAAACAACAAACAAAUUUUAAACAAAACUGUUGAAAACUGAAGCUUAAUGAAUUAUAGAGAUAACUACAAAAAUAUAUUUACACCCAACAAACCAUAACAACAAAUGAGAGCCAGAACAUUAGAUUUAUAUACAUAUAUACAAAAAUACAUUACUAUAUCUGAAUAGUUACGGAAUUACAUUUAAAAAAUUCAUAACAAUUAUAUACAACAUACAUAAAUGCAUACAUAUAUACAAUAUAUUUAUAUACAACGACAGAAGAAAACAAUUAAGAUGGAAAUGUUUCUUUUUUUUUUCUGAGUGCAUCAAUGGGAUAUCUGUGUAAGGAAGCCUAUUUAAAUGCCUAGAUAUAACAUAUUAAAUAUAUAAAAAUCAGUAUUUUUAUAUAUUAAACAUUUGACAAGAGAGCAACGAUAGCAACAAUAACAAUAACAAUAACAAUAAUUGUAACAUUUGUGACCACAUGCAGCAACAAACAGAAGAAAGAGCCUGAAAAACUACCAACAAAAUAAUGAAAAAUGGAUUAAUUAAAAAUUAGUAACUGAAAAAAAACAAUUCAGCUGGUUUUCUCAUUGGUGGUAGGCCACUCCCACUGUGGCCUGGAAAAAUUCACAAAUCAAAGCUUAAAAUUCAUUCCAAGAGCAUCUUCAACUGAUGGGCCAGUCUAUUCAAUUCAUGGAAUUCUUUCUAUAAGUAUUUGUAGAUU
rnacentral:lncRNA from 1 species